rnacentral:rRNA from 1 species
GACGAACGCUGGCGGCGUGCUUAACACAUGCAAGUCGUACGGUAAGGCCCUUUCGGGGGUACACGAGUGGCGAACGGGUGAGUAACACGUGAGUAACCUGCCCACAACUUUGGGAUAACGCUAGGAAACUGGUGCUAAUACUGGAUAUGUGCUCCUGCUGCAUGGUGGGGGUUGGAAAGCUCCGGCGGUUGUGGAUGGACUCGCGGCCUAUCAGCUUGUUGGUGGGGUAGUGGGCUACCAAGGCGGCGACGGGUAGCCGGCCUGAGAGGGUGACCGGCCCCAUUGGGACUGCGAUACGGCCCAGACUCCUACGGGAGGCAGCAGUGGGGAAUAUUGCACAAUGGGCGCACGCCUGUUGCAGCAACGCCGCGUGCGGGAUGCCGGCCUUCGGGUUGUAAACCGCUUUCAGCAGGGACGAAGCUUUUUGUGACGGUACCUGCAGAAGAAGCACCGGCUAACUACGUG